AAGGGGAUCCGUAGGUGCCAUUUCUGUUUCUAAUUGUGCCGAAGUGCUGGGGGGUCUACUUAGGAUGGCUGAAUCAUAUGGCCUGUUAUCGGAGGUUUCGGUCGGCGAAGGUGGAUUGCAAGUAGUUUCCCAACAGGUCACGGAUUCAUUGAAUAAUGUUACGGUGUUGAAGAGAGUAUCUUGCAGUGCUAUGAGGUUGCAUCAAGAUUGAGAGUAAAUUUCCACAAGAGCAGCUUGGGAGGGG
rnacentral:lncRNA from 1 species